GUAAGAUCUUCUGAAUGGGCAACAUUUUUAAUGUCUGAAAGAUUUCUGAAAGCAAUUAAAACCUCACAAAACAAAAAAAUUUCCACAGGAAAAGCAUUCUGAAACUUAAUAUUUCCAGCAAUAAUAAACUAAUGUGAAUUUCAGUCUGUCCUCAUGAGGUUCUAAUUAGUGCUUGUGAGUUCUAGCUUGCGCUUGACUUCACCAACUUACGUGCAUGUUCCCUUCCUCACUUUCGGCUCUACCAGGGAGAACAAAGGUAAAGAUCACCAAAGACAACUUUAGACCUUUAUUGGCUUGUACAUGGUACCAGAAGAAUCUACAUUAACAUGGUUUGCUAAUUAGCAUUUUUUUUUUUUUUUUUUUUUUUAAAGACAGAGUCUCUGUCACCCAGGCUGGAGUGCAGUGGUAAGAUCUUGGCUCACAGAACCACAAGAGAGAAUCCUGGGAUUCUGUAUUUAAGUCAUACAUCCGUGUCUGCAUUCAGAACGCAUCUCCCAGCAAGUAAAAGGGCUCUGGUAGAGACUGAGCAGCUGAACCCAGCACAUCAAGUGACCAUGUGACCACAACUGCCCAUCUUGCACUGUAUAUAUGUUAUUUUCACAAGCUCCAAAGUCAAGAAGGCCUAGCAACAAUGCAUUUUAAGAAGAAAGCAAUAUAUAUGGGAUCAGGCACAAAGAAUCUUG
rnacentral:lncRNA from 10 species